rnacentral:rRNA from 1 species
UACGUAGGGGCCGAGCGUUGUCCGGAAUUACUGGGCGUAAAGCGUGCGCAGGCGGUUAUGUAAGACAGAUGUGAAAUGCCCGGGCUUAACCUGGGAACUGCAUUUGUGACUGCAUGGCUAGAGUUUGGCAGAGGGGGGUAGAAUUCCACGUGUAGCAGUGAAAUGCGUAGAUAUGUGGAGGAACACCGAUGGCGAAGGCAGCCCCCUGGGUCAAGACUGACGCUCAUGCACGAAAGCGUGGGGAGCAAACAGG